rnacentral:rRNA from 1 species
AAAACCGUUCAGGGGUAAACCUGAGAAACCCAAAAAAUCGAAUGGGGAGAUUCAUCGUCAGCCGGCUUGAGCUUGCGUGUGGUUCGCGAUGACCGGAGCCUCGGCUCUCGCGUCACGCAAUCGCUGCGUCAUGUCCGAGUUGGCCGGCGUGCACUUCUCCCCUAGUAGGACGUCGCGAUUCGUUGGGUGUCGGUUUACGGACCGGUAGGUAGCCUGGUGAGUUACGUUCACGCGUACCACUCGCCAGACCUCCGGCUUCCCAACCGGCUGCCCGGCGAUAUAAAACGAUAAUCCAAUGGCAUUGAGCCGCGUUGAACGCGUUUUCGGCUCGUCGGCAGAUUCGCCUCGCUCGGAUUUACGGACCUAGCGCCGUUGCCGGGUGCUUGGCGGGUCGUUCGCCGGCGAUGUCCUCGAACUGGCUCAAAAAUAUUCUUACAGAAUAUGCCGAUCGGCGACGCUACUGCUUUGGGUACUUUCAGGACCCGUCUUGAAACACGGACCAAGGAGUCUAACAUGUGCGCGAGUCAUUGAGUCUUAUCUAAGCUUAAAGGCGUAAUGAAAGUAAAGAUCGUCCAAGCGUCGACCUAGGGAGGGUGGCCGACGUUACGAUGUCGGCUAGCACUCCCGGGGUUGCUC